GGAAGCUCCGGUAGGUGGCGAUCUCAAUGCCCAGGACCAGCUUGACGUUCAUCAGCUCCUGGUACUCGCGCAGCAGCCGGGCCAGGUCCUCCUUGGCCUGCUGCAGGGCAUCCUCCAGCUGGCCC